rnacentral:lncRNA from 1 species
UGCCACACUACUGUCGAAGACUCAUCGCUGAAGGCUUUACCGCACUUUGCCAUCGGCAUGCUUUGCCAUCGCCGUACUUUGUCGUCGUCGCGCUCUGUCGUUGCCUCACUCUAUCGUUGAAGGCUCUUCCACCAUCGUACACUUUUCGCUGGAAAGAGAAGCAAAUCUGCAACCCAAAGGUACGUUUUUCCCUUUCCCUUUCGAAAGAGAUUGAAAAACCUUGGCAUAGGAGUAGUGGAAGAACGAAGGAG